UGCGUAGGUUGUGGUAUGUGUUGGAUGUGAAAUUCUGGAGCUUAACUCCGGCGCUGCGUCCAAAACUAUAUCACUAGAGUACUGUAGAGAUGAGCGGAAUUUCAGGUGUAGCGGUAAAAUGCGUAGAUAUCUGAAAGAACACCAACGGCGAAGGCAGCUCAUUGGGCAGUCACUGACACUGAUGCACGAAAGCGUGGGGAGCAAAAAGGAUUAGAUACCCUUGUAGUCCACGCUGUCAACGUUGUACACUUGGCCUUGGGGGGAUUCGACCCCCUCACGGGCCGCAGCUAACGCGUUAAGUGUACCGCCUGAGGACUACGGUCGCAAGACUAAA
rnacentral:rRNA from 1 species